rnacentral:rRNA from 1 species
UACCCGCAGCACAAGUGGUGGUCAUUAUUAUUGGGCCUAAAGCGUCCGUAGCUGGCCUGUUAGAUGCCUGGGUAAAUCGAUGCGCUCAACGCAUCGAACUCCGGGUAGACCGGCAGGCUUGGGACCGGGAGAGAUGUGAGCUACUCGAGGGGUAGGGGUAAAAUCCUGUAAUCCUUCGGGGAGGACCAGUGGCGAAGGCGCACAUUAGAACGGCUCCGACAGUGAGGGACGAAGCCCUGGGGCGCAAACCCGG